rnacentral:rRNA from 1 species
UACGGAGGGUGCAAGCGUUAUCCGGAAUCACUGGGUUUAAAGGGUGCGUAGGUGGGGAAAUAAGUCAGAGGUGAAAGGCCACCGCUUAACGGUGGGAUUGCCUUUGAUACUGUUUUUCUUGAAAUUAGAUGAGGUUAGCGGAAUGUGACAUGUAGCGGUGAAAUGCAUAGAUAUGUCAUAGAACACCAAUUGCGAAGGCAGCUAGCUGGUCUAUAUUUGACACUGAGGCACGAAUGCGUGGGGAUCAAACAGG